rnacentral:lncRNA from 1 species
AAAACUCUUGUAUUAAAGACCAGGGAUACUACACCGAUACAUCAUACAAUAAAUGAAAACUAUAUUCUAUUCAUGUUGGUGAUCAAAAGGGAAAACAACAUGCAUUGAAGAACACCUGGGAUUCCCGCCAUAGACAAAGCUACAAUGUGAUACUCAUCAGUAUAGUACAUGGGCGGGCGAUAGAUCAUGUUUCUGUGAAGCCUCCAUGCCUGAUGAAGCGUGCUUUACACAUUCACCCGUGCAAGCAUCCAUUGUAAGAUAGCAAAAGCCACUCACUAAACAACAGAAACAAUAUGACUCGUUCUUGCAUUCUGGAAUAUUUUUUUUUAUUGACGCAUAAUCCAUGUGGUAAACUAAUCUUCUCAUUUUCUUGGCCUUCCAUGAUUUGGCCUACGGAAUACAAGAAAAUUGUAAGUAUAUUUAGAAAGCUAUUGUUUGACGAUCUAUAAAGAAAAGACCACAAUCAUAGACAAAAAUAGACUUGGGAAUCUGUAAGCGCCUUUAUAUUAGAAAGAGUAGGCACAAGCUAUGUACUACUGGCUCCGUUUUUAUUUACUCCACAUAUUAGCUUUGAUCUAAGUGAAACUUUAAUUUUUUUAACUAAGAUUAUAGAAAUCUCUAAACUUUCACAAUAGCAAAUAUACAUGAUGUGAAAACAUAUUCAAUGAUGAUUAUAAUGGUAUUGAUUUGGUAUUCUGACUGUUAAUAUAUUUUGUAUGAACUUGGUUAAACUUUACAAACUUUGAGUUGAGACAAAACUAAUAUGCUAGUAAAUAAAAACAGUGGAAGUAUCUGCUUAGUGCUUAUUGUAGAAAAAGAGUUCAAAAUAAAUAAUAAAGUAUAUCCAUAAGUCCUGUGUUUAUAGCCACUUACAUUGUGCGUGCAUCAUAGUGUAGAGGAGAAGCACACACACUAUGGUCCCUGCAGGGAAGGAGUUCAUGUACUUUUCCAUCUACUUAGCGCAAUGCAACUGUAGGUGCCUGUUUAUCGCUCCUCACAGUACCAUAGAGUAUGUUUUCUUCUCAACAACAACAAUGGAAGAGUGUGGUGUGUCCUAGCAACAUUCGUAUAUCCACACCAAUAUAAAAAGACCCA